rnacentral:rRNA from 1 species
AGGACGAACGCUGGCGGCGUGCUUAACACAUGCAAGUCGAACGGAAAGGCCCGCUUGCGGGUACUCGAGUGGCGAACGGGUGAGUAACACGUGGGCAACCUGCCCUCAGCUUCGGGAUAACACUUGGAAACAGGUGCUAAUACCGGAUAAUAACUUCGCAUCGCAUGGUGUGUUGUUCAAAGUUUUUCGGCUGAGGAUGGGCCCGCGGCCUAUCAGCUUGUUGGUGGGGUGAUGGCCUACCAAGGCGACGACGGGUAGCCGGCCUGAGAGGGCGACCGGCCACACUGGGACUGAGACACGGCCCAGACUCCUACGGGAGGCAGCAGUGGGGAAUAUUGCGCAAUGGGCGGAAGCCUGACGCAGCGACGCCGCGUGAGGGAUGACGGCCUUCGGGUUGUAAACCUCUUUCAGCUCUGACGAAGCGGAAGUGACGGUAGGAGCAGAAGAAGCACCGGCCAACUACGUGCCAGCAGCCGC